rnacentral:lncRNA from 1 species
CCGUGUGGAAUUGCUAUGAGAAUAUUACACCAAAUUCCAGCUUCCUCUACAAUUUUGUUCUAAUUGUCAAUCCUUAGUUUUUCUAUACAUUUAGAUGCGUAAGUUCUCUCUGUUUGAAUUUCUUGUUCAUUUGAGAGAAAAAAAACGAGAAAAAACCCACCAAAAUACAGAUGUUCCAUGAUCUUCUUCACCAUUUGUUUUACAUGUACCACAACUAACAUGGUCUGUAGAUUUACAAAU